GUUCCCAAAUUGGUUUAGGGCAUAUUCAGCCAGAGUAUUAGGAGGGACACCCCAACCUUGGCAAGCUAGGAUUCCACCACAAUCCCCUGUUUGGCAAUGACCCUUGCCACUGCCAUCAAAGUUGCAGUUUGUCCGUCCCCAGAUACGAGCCAUGGACGUGCCAGCAGGCACAUUAAGUUCCCAUGUCUGGCCCUGGUCUAGGCGGCGGCCACCACCAGGAGAGGCUGCAGCCCAAACAGUGUAAGGGCAGUUAUUGCGGAUGGUGAAGGUAGCUCCAUCAGAGGAAGUGAAGAAAAGGGCAGAGAGCAGAAAGAUAGAAAUGAGAAAAAUGUUGAAGUUACUCAUGGUUGAUGGAUGGUGGUGGAGUGGUGCGAGGUGUUAGCGG
rnacentral:misc_RNA from 1 species